UAGUUGUCAUAUAUAAAGAAUGAUUGUUUAGGAACUUCGAAGGUUCUGUCCACUUUAAUUUGUCACUAAUUUAUUUUGCAAAUAUAAUGGAUUAUCCAAUCACAAAGACUU